CACGGACGGUGACAGCGAGGCGGAUAACAGUCUUCAGUACCUGCUGGACUUUGAAGCUGUGGAUUCUGGGACUGUUAGAAAAGCUCCAACAAAAUGAGGAAGAGGAGGGGGAGAAACACAAUUAGGUUGAAUUACAAUUGGAUGGAAGGCGAGGACAAGGAGAAGGAAGCUUAGGAUGAGGAGGAAGAAAAGCAGCAGGAGCAUCUUUAGGGAUCCCUAUGAUGUCAUUGAGAGGCAGCGGUGAGACCUCGGGUCAUCCAGCUGGAGAGCCUGACCAGGAGGAGUCGAACAUUAACUCAGCUCUUCCAGGGCACCCUGCAGACUCGGCUGUUGGCAUCGGCGAGGGAUGACGUGAACGCCAAACUGGAGUCCAUCACAGGUCAACUGCAGCUCCUUGUCUCAGAGUGGGAGGGAUUUGAAGCACAAAGGGAGGAACUUGUCGUUUGGUUGGCUUAUAUGGAUGUCCGCCUGAGUGAGGUUGACCAGCUGACAGGAAACACCAGUGCAAAAACUGAAACAACUGCAGGUGUGGGCUUGUUUUGAUAUGACAUAUAUUUGAUAUGAAACAUACGUCAGAGACAUUAUCCUAAACUGGACUAACAAAGGACCAUGAGUACAACAUGAAAUGUACAUUACAUGGUGUAAUGCUAAAGUUCAUUGAUCAUUUUAAUCAUAAACUUGUUGAAAUAUUUUUACUGAACAUGCAAACAUCUGCUGAUGAAAAUGUGUUGAUUUAUUGGUCUGUUAUGAAGCUGUUGCUAUUUCUAAUGUGUUU
ensembl:lncRNA